UUGAGAGUUUGAUCCUGGCUCAGAACGAACGCUGGCGGCAGGCUUAACACAUGCAAGUCGCGGGAGAAGCCAUCUUCGGGUGGUGGGCACCGGCGCACGGGUGAGUAACGCGUGGGAACGUACCCUUCGGUGGGGGACAACAGCUGGAAACGGCUGCUAAUACCGCAUACGCCGGAGACGGGAAAGAUUUAUCGCCGAGGGAUCGGCCCGCGUUAGAUUAGCUAGUUGGUGAGGUAAUGGCUCACCAAGGCGACGAUCCGUAACUGGUCUGAGAGGA
rnacentral:rRNA from 1 species